rnacentral:rRNA from 1 species
GAUGAACGCUGGCGGCGUGCCUAACACAUGCAAGUCGAACGGAGUGUUGAGAGCUUGCUUUUAACACUUAGUGGCGGACGGGUGAGUAAUGUAUGAGCAACCUGCCUUUCAGAGGGGGACAACAGUUGGAAACGACUGCUAAUACCGCAUAAUGUAUUUCGGAGGCAUCUCUGGGAUACCAAAGGAGCAAUCCGCUGAAAGAUGGGCUCAUAUCUGAUUAGCUAGUUGGUGAGGUAACGGCUCACCAAGGCUGCGAUCAGUAGCCGGACUGAGAGGUUGAACGGCCACAUUGGGACUGAGAUACGGCCCAGACUCCUACGGGAGGCAGCAGUGGGGAAUAUUGGGCAAUGGGCGAAAGCCUGACCCAGCAACGCCGCGUGAAGGAAGAAGGUCUUCGGAUUGUAAACUUCUUUUAUGAGGGACGAAGGACGUGACGGUACCUCAUGAAUAAGCCACGGCUAACUACGUG